CGUCUAUAUACGUAUAGCAUAUCAAUAAGCGGAGGAAAAGAAACUAACUAGGAUUCCCUUAGUAACGGCGAGUGAAGCGGGAAGAGCUCAAAUUUGAAAUCUUCAAGGUUCUACCUUGACGAAUUGUAGUUUAAAGAAGUGUUUUCUGUUGGAAUAGUUUGGUAUAAGUUCUUUGGAAUAGGACAUCAUGGAGAGUGAGAAUCCCGUAAUUGACCAUUAUUUCCAGCUUUGUGAUACACUUUCAAAGAGUCGGAUUGUUUGGGAAUGCAGUCCAAAAUGGGUGGUAAAUUUCAUCUAAGGCUAAAUACUGGCGAGAGACCGAUAGCGAACAAGUACCGUGAGGGAAAGAUGUAAAGAACUUUGAAAAGAGAGUUAAACAGUACGUGAAAUUGUCAAAAGGGAAGCGUUUGACACCAGUGUUGUUUUCUCGAAAAUCAAUUAAAAAAGGCCGGAUUUUGUGUUGUAUUGACUUUAUCAGCUUUCUGCACUCUUUUCUUGUCUUUUUUAAUGCACUUUUCGUUUAACAAGUCAACAUCAAUUUCUUUUGUUGUAAAAGGGUCAUUGGAAGGUGGCUUUCUUUUCGGAGAAAGUGUUUAUAGCCUUUGGCCUCUGCAAUCGGAGAGAUUGAGGUCUGCAGCGUAGAUCCUUCGGGGUUAGAUACAUUUGUGCUAAGUUAUAGCCUUUCAUAGACAACUUGUUGACUAUGAUCAGUCAUGUAGCUUACUCGCUUAUGCUAUUUUACCUACGCUUAGGAUGUUGAAGUCAUCGUAUCGCGCGUGCUUGAUCUAUACAUGACUCUGCGCGUGUCAAUAAGCGGAGGAAAAGAGGGCUAUUACCUACGCUUAGGAUGUUGAAGUCAUCGUAUCGCGC
rnacentral:rRNA from 1 species